GACGAACGCUGGCGGCGUGCCUAAUACAUGCAAGUAGAACGCUGAAGAGAGGAGCUUCCUCUUCUUGGAUGAGUUGCGCACGGGUGAGUAACGCGUAGGUAACCUGCCUUGUAGCGGGGGAUAACUAUUGGAAACGAUAGCUAAUACCGCAUAACAAUGGAUGACACAUGUCAUUUAUUUGAAAGGGGCAAUUGCUCCACUACAAGAUGGACCUGCGUUGUAUUAGCUAGUAGGUGAGGUAAUGGCUCACCUAGGCGACGAUACAUAGCCGACCUGAGAGGGGGAUCGGCCAAACUGGGACUGAGACACGGCCCAGACUCCUACGGGAGGCAGCAGUAGGGAAUCUUCGGCAAUGGGGGCAACCCUGACCGAGCAACGCCGCGUGAGUGAAGAAGGGUUUCGGAUCGUAAAGCUCUGUUGUAAGUCAAGAACGGGUGUGAGAGUGGAAAGUUCACACUGUGACGGUAGCUUACCAGAAAGGGACGGCUAACUACGUG
rnacentral:rRNA from 1 species